rnacentral:rRNA from 1 species
AGGAUUAACGCUGGCGGCGUGCAUGAAACAUGCAAGUCGAGCGCGGUGUGAUGCGGGGUAACCCAAUUCACAUCUAGCGGCGAACGGGUGAGUAACACGUGAGCAACCUACCUUUGAGUUGGGGAUAGCCCUGGGAAAUCAGGAUUAAUACCCGAUGUGGUCACAACAGGACAUCCUGAUGUGAGUAAAGGCGCAAGCCGCUCAAUGACGGGCUCGCGGCCUAUUAGCUUGUUGGUGGGGUAACGGCCUACCAAGGCGAUGAUGGGUAGCUGGUCUGAGAGGACGAUCAGCCACACUGGGACUGAGACACGGCCCAGACUCCUACGGGAGGCAGCAGUUAGGAAUUUUCCGCAAUGGGCGAAAGCCUGACGGAGCAACGCCGCGUGAGUGAUGAAGACCUUAGGGUUGUAAAGCUCUGUCGGAGGGGAAGAACACAAUGACGGUACCCUACCAAGAAACGCCCGGCUAACUACGUGCCAGCAGCCG